AUUGAACGCUGGCGGCAGGCCUAAUACAUGCAAGUCGAGCGAGCGGCGGACGGGUGAGUAAUGUCUGGGAAACUGCCUGAUGGAGGGGGAUAACUACUGGAAACGGUAGCUAAUACCGCAUACCAUCAGAUGUGCCUAGAUGGGAUUAGCUAGUAGGUGGGGUAACGGCCCACCUAGGCGACGAUCCCUAGCUGGUCUGAGGGGAUGACCAGCCACACUGGGGCUGGGACGCGGUGCAAACUCCUACGGGAGACAGCGGUGGGGAAUAUUGCGCAAGGGGCAGAAGCGUGAUGCGGCCAAGCGGCGUGUGUGUAGAAGGCCUUCGGGUUGUAAAGCACUUUCAGCGGGGGGGCGUUACCCGCAGAAGAAGCACCGGCUAACUCCGUGCCAGCAGCCGCGGUAAUUC
rnacentral:rRNA from 1 species